GCAACUGGCACAAUGUCUCGUGCUCGGCACCGAGCGGCUUGGCUCUCACCUGAGCUGCAGUAACGCUUCCAGCUCCUCUUCUCCCGCCCCUGAAACACCGUUCAGGAACAGGUAUCGGAGUAAUUAGCUCCAGUAUUACACAUCUACAUUCCUGAUGCACCAAUGGUCUCCAUGCAAGGCUGUUUAAAGCCUGGGAAGGACAGAAGGACCAGUACGUGUGUGUGGAAAAUUGACGGGCAGGAGGAGGCGGCAAGUGGCCUUUCCCAUGGCCAGAAGGAAAAAUGGAAAAAGAAAAUCCACAUCGGGCUAAACAAAAGCCCUCAGUGUAUUCUGAGUCCUACUGCUGUUGAAUAUCCAGUGAGCCUGGAUGAAGCCCGAGACUGAAAAGACAACUUGUGGUGUCUGAAUCGCAGUAGCCACAAAAAUUUUCCAGUUCUCCUGAUGGCUGUUUUGAACUGUGGAUAACAACUUCCAUGGCAAAUAUUGGUUAGUAAGUAAAUCUCUGGUUAGUAAUCCUGUAGUUCAACCUGGCAGUAACUAUUGACUAUAAAGAUGUUGGUAAGCAUUUUUCUGAGAAGCAUUCUGCUCCUUUGUGUUUUACCUUUGCUUGGCUUGUCUCCAGUCUUCAACAUUUGCAUGUAAAACAUCAAAGAUAUUAAUCAGUAAAAAGCAGAAAAAAUCCUCUUACGAAUACCCCUUACGAAAAAUACUUUCUAAUAUAAAGUAUUUAUCUUAAGCCUUGUUUCUUUCACCAUUUAUUUUCUCACUUGAAUAUGGUGGAAUCAAUAUUGCAAAUCACAAUCACACAGCUCAUCAGACAUCACUGAAUUUGGCGAUUAUAAUUUUAAAUAAAAUGGCAUCUUCUCCUUAAUGGUGGAGCGGU
rnacentral:lncRNA from 1 species